rnacentral:rRNA from 1 species
UACGUAGGGUGCAAGCGUUGUCCGGAAUUAUUGGGCGUAAAGAGCUUGUAGGUGGUUUGUCGCGUCUGCUGUGAAAAUCCGAGGCUCAACCUCGGACUUGCAGUGGGUACGGACAGACUAGAGUGUGGUAGGGGAGACUGGAAUUCCCGGUGUAGCGGUGAAAUGCGCAGAUAUCGGGAAGAACACCCGUGGCGAAGGCGGCUCUCUGGGACGGUACUGACGCUGAGACGCGAAAGCGUGGGGAGCGAACAGG